GACGUAGGGGGCGAGCGUUGUCCGGAUUCAUUGGGCGUAAAGAGCGUGUAGGCGGCCAGGUAGGUCGGAUGUGAAAACUCGAGGCUCAACCUCGAGAUGUCAUCCGAAACCAUCUGGCUAGAGUCCGGAAGAGGAGAGUGGAAUUCCUGGUGUAGCGGUGAAAUGCGCAGAUAUCAGGAAGAACACCGAUGGCGAAGGCAGCUCUCUGGUACGGUACUGACGCUGAGACGCGAAAGCGUGGGGAGCGAACAGG
rnacentral:rRNA from 1 species